UUCCGGUUGAUCCCGCCGGACCCCACUGCUAUCGGGGUGGGACUAAGACAUGCAAGUUGAGCGCCUUGAGCUAUGGCGAGGCGCGGCGUACAGCUCAGUAACACGUAGUUAACCUACCCUCGGGACGGGGACAACCCCGGGAAACUGGGGCUAAUACCCGAUGGGUGAGGAGGCCUGGAAUGGUUUCUCACCGAAAGGAUAUUGAAACACGCUUUCAACCUUGCCCGAGGAUGGGACUGCGUCCGAUCAGGUUGUUGGUGGGGUAACGGCUCACCAAGCCUAUAACCGGUAUGGGCCGUGAGAGCGGGAGCCCGGAGAUGGAAUCUGAGACAAAAUUCUAGGCCCUACGGGGCGCAGCAGUCGCGAAAACUCCUCAAUACACGAAAGUGUGAUGGGGCUACCCCGAGUGCCGUCCGCUGAGGACGGCUUUUCUUCAGUGUAAUAAGCUGGAGGCAAUAAAGGGAGGGCAAGAAUGGUGUCAGCCGCCGCGGUAAAACCAACUCCCUGAGUGGUAGGGAUGAUUAUUGGGCUUAAAGCGUCCGUAGCUGGCCUGGUUGGUCCCGCGUUAAAUCCAGCGACCUAAUCGUUGGGCUGCGGGGGAUACGGUCAGGCUAGGAGGCGGGAGAGGUUAGCGGUACUCCAGGGGUAGGGGUGAAAUCCAGUAAUCCCUGGCGGACCACCAGUGGCGAAGGUUGCUAACCAGAACGCGCUUGACGGUGAGGGACGAAAGCUGGGGGAGCGAACCGGAUUAGAUACCCGAGUAGUCCCAGCUGUAAACGAUGCGGGCUAGCUGUUGGGAUGGCCACGAGCCAUUUCAGUGGCGCAGGGAAACCAUUAAGCCCGCCGCCUGGGAAGUACGAUCGCAAGAUUGAAACUUAAAGGAAUUGGCGGGGGAGCACCACAAGGCGUGAAGCUUGCGGUUUAAUUGGAUUCAACGCCGGGAAUC
rnacentral:rRNA from 1 species